UACGGGGGGGAGCAAGCGUUGUUCGGAUUUACUGGGCGUAAAGGGCGCGUAGGCGGCAAUUCAAGUCAUCUGUGAAAUCUCCGGGCUUAACUCGGAACGGUCAGAUGAUACUGCUUUGCUAGAGUGCGGAAGGGGCAAUCGGAAUUCUCGGUGUAGCGGUGAAAUGCGUAGAUAUCGAGAGGAACACCUGAGGUGAAGACGGGUUGCUGGGCCGACACUGACGCUGAGUGCGCGAAAGCCAGGGGAGCAAACGGG
rnacentral:rRNA from 1 species